CUCACUCACCAGCAGCUCAGCGCCGCGAGGCCGCCCAAUCCCGCGACUGCGGCGGCCGCUCUGGUUAACAACACUCCCACCCCCUGCGAACCGGAACUUCGAGGGGUAAGACACCUCACUUCCGGCGGCGCGGGGCGCGGCGUGGGUCGUACCAAGUGCUCUCAGCUCUUGUCUGUCCCGUGCACUCUCCAUGGUUCCAGGGGCAAUGGUCUCACUGCAGCUGGUUUUCUUGUGCAUAAGAGAGGGUUUAGCAGAAGAUGCGAGCGGUAAUCGGAGCGGAUCAGGGCAAGCCGGUGGUUCAGGGUCCCCCUAUUUAUUAGUCACAGAUGGUAUCGUCUCCACCUCUCUGAGUGGACAACCUAGCGGAGGACUUUAGCUCUCAUAGGGGCUGGGUGGUUGGUGGCGCACUGUGGGGCCGUACCACUCGGAGGGGGGAGUAUGCAAAGGACAGACUUCACAUGUGUCAGAGAAAGAAAAUGUUUUAGAGCCUCCUUCUAGAGCGAUUCCUAACAGUUUGAUAAACAAGGUGCUUUUCAGGAGAACUGGGUGCAGAAAACAAAAAAUUAUUUCCCCCACGCCCUCCCCCAAGUUGUGUGAGAAUGAGUUGGGUUCCCGUGGCUGCUAUUGAUUGGUCGCAAUAGAGUUACGCGGACCAAUAAGAAAAAGAAAGGAAAAUUGCUGAUUGUUAAGACCUCGACUGGUAACCAAAAGGCCUGUAGUUCGAGUCCACCAGCCCCUUCUUGGGAACCCUGUGGGGGCAGUUCUACUCUGUCUUAUAGGGUCGCUAAGAGUCGGAAUCGACUCCACGGCAACGGGUUUUAUAGGAAGAGAAAAGCAGCUUUGCUCUCCAUGUAUUGUUCAAGGAGCCCUGGUGGCAGCAGUGGCUAAGUGGAAACGUCAGCGGUUUGAACGCUCCAGCCCCUCUGCGGUGAAAGAUAUGGCAAUCUGCUUCUAUAAAGAUAACAGCCUUGGAAACCCCGUGGGGCAGUUUUACUCUGUUCUGUGGAGUCGCUGUGCGUCGGAAUCAACUCGACAGCAACGGGUUCGGUGCCAAUAUCAAGAAGGCAGAUGGAAGGGUUCAACCAGGGUUGGAGCUUUUCAGGGGUGAUGGUUUUAUGGUAACCAAGACUCUCAUUAUUUGCUCUGGGGGAAACCAGUCAUCAUGUUAUGAAGACAUGCAAUCAGCCCCAUGGACAGGACCAUGUGUCAAGGAACUGAGGCUUCCAGCCAACAACCAUGUGAGUGAGCCACAUGGGAAGAGGAUCCUCCAGCCCAAGUUAAGCCUUCAGAUGACUAGUCUUGGCCAACAUCUUGACUGCAAGCCUCAUGAGAGAUUAUGAAUCAGAACCACCCAGCUAAGCUGCUCCUGAAUUCCUGACCUACAGAAGCUAUGAGAUAAUAAUUUUUUUUUUUUAAACCACAAAGUUUUGGUGUAAUUUUUAUGCUGCGACAGGUGUCUUUGAUAGAGAGAGGAGCAAUCAGAGGGUAGGCUUCCACCUGGUUGUUCAGGGACCCAGGCUCCUUCCAUCUUGUGUCUCUGCCACCCCCAAGGAGCUCUUGGAGUUCUCUGGAGAUCUGCAUUUUGCUGGGAGUCAGGGGAGUAGAGAGUGAAGCCAAUUGUAAGGGAGGGAGGUUUUCAAGGGCCAUGCCUGGUAAUGAAUAAUAAAAAGUAAUGGCAAAUGAGAUAAGGAAGUGAUUUUAAGAGGAAAUAAAAAAGAUGACUGAAGAGUAGGGGGGAGGAGGGGAGAAGGGAAUAAGGAUCAAUGCGAGGAUCCUUUAGCCUGAAAGUUUCGUGACUUAGUUAUCUAGUGCUGCUAUAACAGAAAUACCACAAGUGGGUGGCUUUAACAAACAGAAAUUUAUUUUCUCACAGUUUAGGAGGCUAAAAGUUUGAAUCCAGGGUGCUGGCUCUAGGGGAAGUCUUUCUGUUUCUUUUGGCUCUCAAGAAAAGUCCUUGUCUCUUCUGAGCUUCUGCUUCUGGGCGAUCAUCUUGUGGCUUGGCAUCUAUCUUCCCCCAUCUCUGCGUGCUUCCUUGCAUGUUUAAUCUCUUAUAUGUCUCAAAAGAGAUUGACUUAAAACACAACCCUACACUGUCUCAUUAACACAACAAAGAAAACCCAUUCCCAAAUGGGAUUAUAACCACAGGUAUAAAACCAAACCAAACCCGUUGCCGUGGAGUCAAUUCCGACUCAUAGCAACCCCACAGGCCAGAGUAGAACCGUCCCAUCCAGGUUUACAAGGAGCAGCUGGUGGAUUCAAACUGCUAACGUUUGACUUAGCAGCCAAGCUCUUAACCACUGGGCCACCAGGGCUCCUCCACAGGUAUAAGGGUUAGGAUUUUCAACACAUAUUUUUGGGGGACACAAUUCAAUCCAUAACCAAAACAAAAACAAAAAAACCAAACCCAUUGCCAUCAAGUCAAUUCUGACUCAUAGUGACCCUAUAGGACAGAGUAGACCUGCUCCCAUAGGGUUUCCAAAGAGCAGCUGGUGGAUUUGAACUGCCCACCUUAUAGUUAGCAGCUGAAAGCUUAACCACUGUGCCACCAGGACACCACUCAAUCCAUAAUAGCUAGGGUAUAUUUAAGGAAACAUAACAGAAGCCAGGUGACUGGGGCUUGGAGAGCGAGGCUAAGAGCCGCAGAAAAUGAGUCUGAAGAGGCGGUCGGAUCUCAAAGGUUUUAGGGUUCAUAUUAGGGGCAGUGGGAAGGCACUGAGAGGUUUAAGCAGUGGAGCAGAUGUGCACUGGAUGAAAUCACCGUGGCCACAGUCCAGAGAUGGACAGAGGAGGAGGGGAGCAGGAUCAGAGCAGGAAGUGGUCAGGCAGCUGACUGGCAGCCAGGGGAGAGAUAAUGGCGGCCUGCUCUCGGCUGGGCAGGGUAGAUAGAGAUGCUGAGGAUGCAGAGGUCCUCAAAGACACCACUAUCCCAAAUUUUAUUAUUUUAAAACUCAUUAUUUUGCUCAUAAACCCAGGUGGUUAUUUUCUUAUGAACAUGUUUACAAAAAAUGUUCAAGCUAAGGAUGGAAAGGAUUUGCCUCCUCAGAGCCACCCUGACUGCACUCCAGAUAAACUCCCAAUAUUUAGAGCCCAUAUCAACCCCUGGCUCAGAUGACUUUUUACCCACCGCUGCCCCGCUGCUGUUCUCAGCCCUACGGGUAUGAUAUGCACCGUGGGAUAUUUCACUGGGCACAGCAAGAUGCACGCUCUGUGGUAAGAUGAUGCAAGAUUUCACCUCUGAUCUGUUAAAGGUGUUUUCCAAUUGCUGUUAAGUCCAUUCUGAUUCAUGGUGACCCUAUGUGUUGCAGAGUAGAACUACACUCCAUAGGGCUUUCAUGGCUGUGACCUUUCGGAAGCAGAUCUCUAGAGCGUUCUUCUGAGGCACCUCUGGGUGGAUUCGAACUGCCAACCUUGCAGUUAGUAGCCAGGCACUUAACUGUUUUCACCACCCAGGGACUCCUUGUUAAAGGUAUAAACUACAUGAAUUAAAUUUUCUAAUAAUAUUAAACUAACCUUACAUUCUUUGAGUAAAUCCAAGUACGUCAUGAUGUGUUAUCUUUUCUAUAUGUUACUAGAUUCAGUUUGCUGAUAAUUGUUUUAGGAUUUUUGCAUCUCUGUUUAUGAGCUAUAUUUGCCUGUAAUUUUUCUUUCUUACGCAGUCUUCAUUAGGUUUGGGAUCUAGUAUGCUACCCUUGGAAACUCUGUGGGGCAGUUCUAAUCUGUCCUAUAGGGUCGCGAUGAGUCGGAGUCGACUCGACGGCAGUGGGUUUGGUUUUUUUUGGUUAUACUACCCUUAAGACAGCUGUGGGGGAUGGUCCUUUUUGUUAUACACUGGAAGCAUUUGUACAUGAUAGAAUUAUUUGUUCUUUGAAUGUUUGGUAAAUCUUACAGGUGGAGCCAUAUAGUUGUGAAAUGUUCUUUGUGGUUAAGAUUUUUUUCUGCUGAUUCAAUUUCUUUAAUGUUAUAGGGCCAAUCAGGUGUUCUAUUUCUACUUGAGCCAGUUUUUUUUUUUUUUUUUGAGUCAGUAAUAUUUUUGUAUGAGGAUUUGUCCAUUUUUCACAUGAAUUUUCAAAAGUUGUCAUAAAAUUGAUCAUAAUAUCCUCAUUUAAAAAAUUAACAUCUGUAGUUAUAUUUCCUUUUGCAUUCCUGUGAUAAUUAGUGUGCCUUCCCUUUUAAACAAUUAUUAUGGAUUAAUCAUACCAGAAGUUUGUCAAUUUUUUUGGUCUUUUCAAAAAGCAAAAUUUGACUUUUCUGAUUCUUUCCAUUACAUGUUUUCUAUUUUAUUAAUUUCCACUCUUAACUUUAUUAUUUUAUUCCUUCUACUUUCAUUAGGUAUUAUUUUGCUGCUCUUUUUAAAUGUUACAUAUUUUGAAAUAAAAGAUUAACAGACUUACAGAAAGUUGCAAAAAUGAUGCAGAGAGUUGAGUAUACCCUUUACUCAACUUCUCUUAAUGCUAAUUUCUUACGCAACCCUGGGACAGUUAUUGAAACUAGGAAAUUAACAUCCGUGUAGUAUUUUUAACUAAUCUAAAGGCCUUGUUUUAAUUUUUCCAACAGUGAUUUUUUUUUUUUUUUUCUGGUCGAGGGUCCAAUCCAGGAUUCCAAAUUGCAUUUAAUUGCUGUAUUAGUUAUCUACUGUUGGGUAACAAUUACCCCAAAACUUAGCAACUUUAAACAGCAAACACUUAUUAUCUCAAACUUUCUCUGGUUCAGGAAUUUGGGGUAGCUGAGUCGUUCUCAUCCAGGGUCUCUGAUGACGUUAUAAUCAUGAUGUCACCCAGGGCUGCUGUCAUCUGAAGACUUGACUGGGACUGUAGGAUCUGCUUUCAAGACAGUUCACUCACAUAGCUGUUAGCAGAAGUUCUCAGUUUCCCACCAUGGGGCCUCUCCAUGGUAAUGCUUGAGUGGCCUCAUGGCAUGACAGCUGGUUUCUCCCAGGGACAGUGAAACCUGCAAAGUCUUUUAUGAUGUCAUUUCAGAAGUCACACUCUGUCAUUUCUACAAUGCCCUAUGGGUACACAGGUCAACCCUAUUCCGUGUGGAAGGGGGACUACACAAGAGCAUGAAUACCAGAAUGUGGGUGUCAUUGAGGAGCCAUCUUGGAGGCCGGCUACUACAGUUCUCAUGGCUCCUCAGUGUCUUCCAACCUGGGACAAAUUUCUCUUUCAUGAACUGGACACUUUCAAAGAGUACUGGCGAGUUAUUUUGUAGAUGUCUCUCCAUAUGGAUUUGUCUGAUGUUGCAUAAUGAUUAGUUUGCAUUUAUUCAUUUUUGGCAAGAAGACUGUAGAAGUCACGCUGUGCUCUCUCAGUGCAUCGCAUUGGAUGGUGCUGAUGUCAGUAUGUAUUAUUACUGUGUUAUUAACUUAGAUCACUUAGCUAAGGCAGUAUCUGCCAAGUUUCUCCACUGUAAAGUUACUCUUUUUUCCCUUCGUAAUUGUAAAUCUUGUGGGGAGCUACUUUGACCUAUGCAAACAACUUGCUUCUCAUCAUACUUUUAUCCACUAAUUUUAACAUCCUUCAAUGAUUCAUGCCUGCAAUGAUUAUUAUUGUAGUGUUUGCCUAAUGAUGAUUUUCUAUUUCCAUCAUUCCUCCUACUUUUAUUUACCAGAUUUCUUCUGCAAGGAAGAGCUGUCUUCUCAACCCCCCGCCCCAAUUUACUUAUUUAUCUGCUUAUACCAGUAUGGACUUGUAGAUGUUUAUUUUAUUCUAAGAGUAAUAAUCCAUUACUAUCAUUAUUUUGUUCCUCAAAUUGUCCCAGCUUUGGCCCUUGGGAGCUCCUUCCAGUUGGUGCUUGUCUUUUGAUAAGACUUUGAUGGUAAUUUGAUAUGUACCUCUUGUUUCCGAAACCCUUGUGGCAUAGUGGUUAAGAGCUAUGGCUGCUAACCAAAAGGUCAGCAGUUCAAAUCCACAAGGUGCUCCUUGGAAACCCUAUGGGGCAGUUCUGCUCUCUCCUGUAGGGUCUCUAUGAGUUGGGAUCCCCUCAGCAGCAGUGGGUAGUGGUGGUGGUGACUCCUUAUUUCUUUCUUAGCUUCUUUUAAAUUUUAUCUAUUUUGUUGUUGUUGAGAAUAUACACAGCAAAACAUAUUCCAAUUCAAUUGUCUCUACAUGUACAAUUUAGUGACAUUGUUUACAUUCUUUGAGUUGUGCAACCAUUCUCACUCUCCUUUUCUGAGUUGUUCCUCCUUCAUUGGGGCCCUGGUGGUGAAGUCGUUAAGAGCUCGGCUGCUAACCAAAAGAUCAGCAGUUUCAAUCCACCAGCCACUCCUUGGAAACCUAUGGGGCAGUUCUAGUCUGUCCUGUAGGGUUGGUGUGAAUCCAACUCAGUGGCCAUGGGUUUUCCUCCCUCAUUAAUAUAAACCCACUAUCCUCUAAGGUUCCUAUCUAACCUUUCAAGUUGCAACAUGUCCCCCUUAUUUUUUUUUUUCUGGUUCAGCUGAUAUUUUUUUUCGUAGACUUUCUUGAUGAAGAAAGCAGUGCAUAGAUUUACAUUCCAGUGGAAGUUCCCUAUCUUCUUCUUCUUUUUUUUUUUAUUGUGCUUUAGAGCAAAUUAGUUUCCCAGCCCCUUAUUUUUUGAGCACUUCUUUCUUUCUGUCACCACAUGAUGUUCCAGACUCAUCUUGUAUCAUCUCAGUCCCAAGCCUGAAAUGCACCAUUUCUCCAAAGAUCCCUGGUUCCUUUUAUUGGAGAAUGGAAUUUAAAAACCAAGAUUUAAGUUUUGAGUGUGCCCAUUGCUACUGGAGCGUAAUCGCCUCUAGAUCAUCUCAGUGGUAGAGGAAGAAAUAUAUGCAUGUAUAUACACACAGACACACACACACAUCUGUUUAUUCCUGUAUCUGUCCAUCUGUAUAUACACUAAAACCGUGAGUUCAUAGUUAUACCUCUGAUUCCAGUCCAGCACCACAGAGUUCAUUCUAAUUUUCCUCCUUUCCUUAUUUGUGACUGCUUUCUCUGACAGUGAGAAACCUGGCUUUCAUUAGCCACAACAUACUGUAUUUUUAUGCAAAUAACACACGCAUUAUAAGUUUUUUUGCCAACCUCCCCCCCACCCUGGCUAUUUUCAUAAGUGCACUAUGCUGCAGGUUAUAUGGAGGGGGGUGGAUUACUUAUGUGGUUGUGUUAUUUGUGAAAACAUACAGUAGUAAUGAUUUGUUCAAUAUAAGUACAUACAUGAAAUAGUUUCAGAAUUUCUACCCAUAUCUCCUUGAGAAACAAAUUUACUAAUUAGCGUAUAAUACUUGUGUUCAGUGUUUACUAAUUAAAGUAGUUUUAUAUUUUGCCUUAAAGUACAUAGUCAAAAUGCCAUUUUCCAAAGUUACUUAAGUUAGUUAUUUUCUACCCCACUCCCUCCAGUGUGCUUUGUUAGUUUUAAUACAGUUUGGUUCAUGUAUUACUAUUUUCCUUUCUGGGCCAUCCCACACACCCUCCUAGCUGAAUUAAUUAAUUGAUUUUGGGGGGUAGGUGAAACAUUACCUUGGGUCUAAGAGUCAGAGGUGUACAAAAAGGUGGACUCAGAGAAGUGUCACUCUUCCCUCACCUCUUCAGUCCCAGCCCCAUCCCAUGAUUCUUUCUGCCUCAUUCUUACCCACCCCAUAUGGGUAAUAAACGCCAUUUGUUCUGGUUUAUCCUUCCUGGAUUUCUUUUUGCACAAAUGAGCAGAUAAUAUGUAUAUUUUCUUAAAACCUCUUUCCUCUUACGUGAAGGAUAGCAUAACCAGAGCUGCUUUCUUGCACCUAACAACAUAUCCUGGAAACAACUCUCUGUCGGUUAAUAGAGCUCUUCCUCAUUUUUCAGAAUGCUGCAUCGCAUCGUACUUCAUUGAGUGGGUGCACUUGAGGGUAUUCAUCAAUCUGCUAGCAUGCGUAGUAUGUAAAGGCUCUCUCAAUAAUUUGCAAUUAUUAAUACUUUGUGAGUAAUCUUGUGCCUACGUAUUUUUAUACCAUUGGGAGUGUAUCUUUAUGGUAAAUUCCUGUAAGUGGGAUUGCUUGGUCAAAAGCAACAUCUAAGUAUUUCCGAUACAUGCUAAGUAUUUCCAAAUUUCCCUACAGAAGGGUUGUGCCAGUUCCCCUGGCAAUAUAGGAGAUCUGUUUUCCCACGGUCUCGCUGACAGAAUGCAUUGUCAGCCUCUUUAAUUUUUGCCAAUUUGAUGGGUGAAGGAAGGGAUUUCAGGGUUUUAGUCUGCAUUUCUUUAGUUGCAAAUGAGUUUGAACAUUUGUUCAUACGUUUGAGGGCCAUUUUAAUAUCUUUUUUUUCUGUUCAUAUCUUUUCCCCUUUUUUUUAAAUCAAGGCUUUGGUCCUUCGUCCCUCAAUUUGUAAUAGUUUUUCCUAUAUCAAUGAUAACAUGUUGUAAAUAUUUUCUUCUAGUUUGCCAGGUGUCUUUGUGGCAUCUAGGGUGUUUUUGUCAUGCAACUUUUUUUUUUUUUUCAUUUUUAGUGAGUCAAAUGUAUUAAUCUUUUCUUUUUAUUGUCUCUGGAUUUUGAAUUACAGUUAGAAAGCCUUGCCUACUCAAAGGUUAAAGAGGAAUUCACCCAUAUUUUCUUCUAGUACUUGUUUGGUGGUGUGGAUUGAAUGUGUCCCCCGAAAAUAUGUGUUACAAAUCCUAACCUCUAUGCCUGUGGUUAUAACCCCAUUUGGGAAUGGGUGGUCUCAUUAUGUUAAUGAGACCAGAUAAGUGUAGGGUGUAUCUUGAGUCACUCUCUUUUGAGAUAUAAGAGAUUAAACAAGCAAGCCAGAGAGCAGAGAUGGGGGAAGAGAGAUGCCAAGCCACAUGAAGAUUGCCCAGGAGCAGAAGCUCACAAGAGUCAAGGACCUUCCUCCAGACCUGACAGAGAGAGAGAAAGCCUUCCCCUACAACCGGUGCCCUGAAUUUGGACUUCUAGCCUCCUAAACUGUGAGAAAAUACAUUUCUGUUCAUUAAAACCACCCACUUGUGGUAUUUCUGUUAUAGCAGCACUAGGUAACUAAGACAUAUGGUUUCAUAUUUUACAUUUACAUCCCUGAUCCAAUUAGAGUUAUUCUCAUGUCUGGUUUUUUAGUGUGAGGUAUGGGUCUAAUUUUAUCUUUGUCCAAAUCUUUGCAUAGUUGUCCUAGCACUAUUUAUUAAGUCUGUCUUUGGACCCUUGAGUUGAAAUGCCUACUGUGCUUUUUCGUAUGCUAAAUUCUCAUGUGUGCUAGAGUCUAUUAUUAGGCUUCUAGUCCAUUCCACUGGUUUAUUUGUCUACUCAUGCACCAGCACUGUGUUAAUUAUAAAAGGUUUUAUAGUGUGUUUUAGGAGUCCCUAGGUGGUGCAAAAGGAGCUCUGGUGGCACAGUGAUUAAGUGCCCUGCUGCUAACCAAUAGGUUGUUGGUUCAAACUCACAAUUGGCUCCAUGGGAGAAAGACUUGGUGAUCUGCUUCCGUAAAGAUCACAGUCUAGGAAAUACUAUGGGGCACCUCUACUCUGUCCUAUAGGGUCACUAUGAGUCAGAACAGCACACAACAGCAACAACAGGUGGUGCAAAAUAACUGCAAAAAUAGGCUCAAAUAUACCAUCAAUUAUGAGGAUGGUGCACGACUGGGCAAUUUUUCAUUGUGUUAUACAUAAGGUCACCAUGAGUUCACACUGACUAGACAGCAACUAACAACAGCAAAGGUGGUAUAAACAGUUAACUUGCUCAGCUGCUCACUGAAAGGUUGGAGGUGCCUUGAAAGAGAGGCUUGGUAACCUACUUCCCAAAAAUUAGCCACUGAAAACCCUAUGGACCAUGCGUCGGAAUCAGCUUGGUGGCAGCUGGUUGAGUUGAUAAAAAACCAAAAAACAACGCAACCACAAAAAAACCAAACCCACUGCCAUCGAGUCAAUUCUGACUCAUAAUGACCCCAUAGGACAGAGCAGAACUGCCCCAUAGGGUUUGUAAGGCUGUAAAUCUUCACGGAAGCAGACUGCCACAUUUUUCUCCCACAGAGUGCCUGGUGGGUUUGAACCGCCGAGUUUCGGUUCACAACUGAGCACUUUAACCACUGCGCUACCAUGGCUCCUUUAAUAUUUCACACAGUUUUUGAGCACUGGGAAUCUGGGAGUGGCGUAGUUGGGUAUUCUGGCUCAGGAUCUCUCGUGAGGUUGCAUUCAAGCCAUUAGCCAGGACUGCAGUCGUCUCGACGUUCAGCUGAGGCUGAAGCCUGAAGGAUCAGCUUUAAGCUCAGUAAUGUGGUUGUGGACAGGCCUCAGUUCCUCACUGGCUGGAGAUGUCAGUUCCUCCCAUAUGGCCUUCUCCAUGGGACUCCUCACAACAUGGCUUCCCUCAGAGUGAAUGAUCUAAGAGAGAGCCCAUGAUGGAACCUUUUUUAACCUAGGAGUGACAUAUAUCACUUUUUCUGUUUUGGUCAUACAGACCAACCUUGGUAUAAUGUGGAAGGGGACUAUACAAGGAAGAGAAUACCAGGACGAAGGGAUCAUUAGGGGCCAUCUUGGAGGCUGGCUCUCAAAUCUUUCUUCUUAGUUCCGUUCCUCUUCCCCCACCCAGUAUCUUUCUGGCUAAUCUUGUAUGUUUGUUUUUCCAUAUGACCUUUAAUAUCAAUUUGUCUAAUUCUAUAAAAAACCUUGUUGGUAUUUUUAUUGGGAUUGCAUUAAAUCUAUGACUCGAUUUAGGAAGAACUGACAUCUUCAUAAUGUUGAGUUUUUCUUUCUAUCCUAGAACACUAGGCUGAUGCUCUGAUAGAAAUUAAACAAUUUUAUUGGAAGAAUAAUUUCACUUUGAGGAAUGAAGAAAUAUGUGCUCAAUACAGACUGCAGCGCAUGUUCUGCUUUGCAGGCCAAACAACGGGAUAUUUAACAGACAUAGUAAAUAAAUGCAAAUGGUUUCACAUUAAAGGGGUUGCAGGGGAAGGAAGGAAAAAUUUACAAGGGGUUGUUAAACUACAAACUUUCUUAACAUCAAUUUAGAGCCUAACACAGAUCUCUUAUUCCUGGUAUAGUUUGAUUAAGGAAAUAUUUUUAAAGUGAAACACAUAUUUUUUUUUUUUUUUUCUUUUACCCACCUUUAUUCUUGUCUAUAGAUUUACUGUAGUUAAUUUAACCAAUACAGUACUCUACCGACAGAUAUUCAGGCUGUUCCUUUCACUUUUACUAUUAUAAACAAUGAAUGAGUAAGUUUUUAUAUGUCAUUUUUCACAUAGUGAGUACAUACAGUAAGUCCUCGGGUUAAGAAUAUCUGAAUUAUGGACAGCCCAUACUUAAGAACAGACUGCCAUAAAGUCUAUUGCAUUAAAAACAAACGCAUGCACUACUCUGUGCUGCUCAUGAAAACAUUGUGUGGUUUGGAAGUGUUUGUUUUAUAUGCAUAAACCAAAAAACCAAACCCAGUGCUGUUGAGUUGAUUCUGACUCAUAGCAACCCUAUAGGACAGAGUAGAACUGCCCCAUAGAGUUUCCAAGGAGUGCCUCGUGGAUUCGAACUGCUGACCUUUUGGUUAGCAGCCAUAGCACUUAACCACUACGCCAUGAGGUUUCCUUUUCCACAGUAGGUUUUGCAUAUUUCUUGUUAAGUUUUUUCCUAAGUAGUCAAUCUUGUUUGUUACUGUUGUAAAUGAAUUUUCUGUCAUUACAUCUUCUAACUGGCUUGUAUAUAUGUAUAUAAAGACUAUUAAUUUCUGUGUGUUAACUUUAUAUCCUGUCAACUUAAUGAAAUAUUUAUUGUUUGAGUUAGUUUUAUCACUAUUCCCUUGGGUUUCAUAGGCAUACUAAGGAGCCCUGUCAGAAUCGACUUGACAACAAUGGGUUUUGGGCAGUGAAGUGGUUAAGUGCUUGGCUGCUAACUGAAAGAUGGGUGGUUUGAACCCCCCAGCCACUCUGAGGAAGAGAGAUGUGGCAGUCUGCUUCUGUCAUGGAUUGAAUUGUGUCCCCUAAAAAUAUGUGUAUCAACACCGCUUCAGUUCUGUAACAUGCGCUUAGUUACAGAGGCCAGCACUAUUCAAUGCAGGUGGGAACUGCACAAUGGUGUGAAUACCAGGAGAAAAGAAUCCUUGGAGUACCUUCAAAACUGGCAACCAAAGGUUGGGUCUUCAAGAAAUAACUAUUACGUAAAAUUCUUCGAUUCCUCCUAGAAAAAAGAUGUUGAAAAAUGCAAAAAUUACGCUUUUUAUCAUCUUUUUACGUAAAAGUAGAUAAUUAUACAGUAAAUGGUUAACAAUAUGGUAUGUCUUCUGGAAUGUUAAGAUGGUAAGAGAGACUAAAAUGAUAAAUUCCCAUGAUUUCUAUUUAAAUGUGUGUGUGUGUGUGUGUAUCAAUCUGGCUGGGCCAUGAUUCCCAGUAUUGUGGGAUUGUCCACUAUUUUGUCAUCUGAUGUAAUUUUCCCAUGCGCUGUAAAUCCUAUCACUAUGAUGUUAAUGCAAUGGAUUAGGGGCAGUUAUAUCGAUGAGAUAUACAAGAUUAGGUAGCGUUUUAAGCCAAUCUCUUUGAGAUAGAAAAGAGUGAAGCGAGCAGAGAGACACAGGUACCUCAUACCACCAAGAAAGCAGCACCAGGAGCAGAGCACAUCCUUUGGACCCAGGGUCCCUGUGCCAGAGAAACUCCUAGACCAAGGGAAGAUUGAUGGCAAGGACCUUGCCCCAGAGCCAACAGAGAGAGAAAGCCUUCUCCUGGAGAUGAUGCCCUGAGUUUGGAUUUCUAGCCUACUAGACUGUGAGAGAAUAAAUGUCUCUGUUAAAGCCAUCCACUUGUAGUAUUUUUGCUACAGCAGCACUAGCUAUCCAAGACAGCUUCUGUAAAUAUUAAAAAAAAAAAAAAAUCUGUUGCUGUUGAGUCAAUUGCGACUCAUAAUGACCCUAUAGGACAGAGCAGAACUGCUCCAUGGGGCUUCCAAGGACUGACUGGUGGAUUUGAACUGCUGACCUUUUGGUUAACAGCCGAGGUCUUAACUACUGUUUCACCAGGGCUCCAUCUGUAAAUAUUACAGCCUUGGAAAUCCUAUGAAGCAGUUGUACCCUGUCCUAUAGAGUUGCUAUGAGUCAGAAUCUAUUCUACGGCAACUGGUACUGUCAUAUCUGCAAAUAGAGUUUUACUACUUUUUUUUUUUUUUUUAACCAAUUCUUACCAUGGAAGCAGCAGUCCAGAAAUCAAAUGACGUAUUGCAUUGGGUAAAUCUGCUGCAAAAGUCCACUUUAAAGUGUUAAAAAGCAAAGACGUCACUUUGAUGACUAAGGUGCGCCUGACUCAAACCAUGGUAUGUUCAAUCUCCUUAUUUGCAUGCAAAAGCUGGAUGAUGCAUAAGGAAGACCAAAGAAGAGUUAACGCCUUUGAAUUAUGAUGUUGGCGACGAAUAUUGAAUAUAUGAUGGACUGCCGGAAGAAUGAACAAAUCUGCCUUGGAAGGAGUACAGCCAGAAUGCUCCUUAGAAGGGAGGAUGAUGACACUUCAUUUCCAGUACUUUGGACAUGUUAUCAGGAGGGACCAGUCCCUGGAGAAGGACAUCAUGCUUGGUAGAGUAGAGGGUCACCAAAAGAGAAGACUACCCUCAAUGAGAUGGAUUGACACAGUGGCUCCAAUGAUGGGCUCGAGCUUAGCAACAAUUGUGAGCAUGGCACAGGACUGGGCAGCGUUUCAUUCCGCUGUACAUAGGGGUUGCUAUGAGUCUGAGCUGACUUGAUGGAACCUAAAGAAAACAUACCUCUAAUUUAUUUCUCUUAUCUAAUUGCUUUGACUAAUAUACCUAAAUGUUGAAUAGCAGCAGAGACAGCAGGCAUCCUUGCCUUGUUUCUGAACUUAGUGAAAUGCCUCUAGUGUUUCCACUUUUAGUAAGAUACUGGUGUUAAGGCUAAGUUAAAUAUGUAAUAUACAUAUAACUUAUACACAUAAUAUAAUAUAAUCAUAUUGUUACCAAUUGCCAACCUGACACAAUGGGUCCUUGUCUUUUCCCAAGUAAGAAUACGCGCAAAAGAAAAACUUUAUCUCCAGCAAGCUUUAUUUUGCUUGGGUCAAGCAAAAGGAGUCACUGGGGAUCUAAGCCUCUCCAAAAGACUGACUCGAAAAGGGAAGCAAGGCUAGGGCUUAUAUGGGUUCAGUGGAGACAACAGGGUAAUGACUAUUUAGUGGGCUUCUUUCAAGGGGCAGGUACUUCUCAGAAUGGCGGUGUAUGUUAAUUAGGUUGCCAGGCAUCUGGAAUCUAAGAUGGAACCCGCUGAUAUUCAGGAUGGAGUCCUCUCGGCAGCCCUUGGCAUCACUUAUUAUGGGAUAUAGAGCACACACACUUGAUCUUCGGCACUACAUGGCCAUCUUCCAAGGGCUAAGGAAGGUCAAACAGCAGUCACACUCUGCUCCUCUGGGCAUACGAAGCCUGCAAAGGAGGAGGGGACUAGAAAGACACUAAGAAGGAGAUAGUAAUUCACAGGCUGCCGCAAUCCUAUCUCAUGUUGACAGGGUAGGUUCCUGUUUACCCAACUUCUAGAUGAUAAUAUUUUAAAAAGCUCUUUUGUUCAGCCCCUGCCCCCCCCACACACAGUUAACCUUAUCUGUCUCAAUAUUGUCAUGAAUUGAAUUGUGUCUCCCUCCAAAAUAUGUGUGUAUAUCCUAACCCCUGUAGUGGUUGUAAUCCCAUUUGGGAAUAAGUUUUCUUUGUUAUAUUAAUGAGACAGUAUUAGUGCAGGGUAUAUCUUAAAUCAGAAACCCUGGUGGCGUAGUGGUUAAAUGCUACGGCUGCUGGCCAAAGGGUCAGCAGUUUGAAUCUGCCAAGCGUUCCUUGGAAAAUCUAUGGGGCAGUUCUAUUCUGUCUUAUAGGGUCGCUAUGAGUCGGAAUCGACUUGACGGCACUGGGUUUGGUUUUUUAGUUUUAUAUCUUAAAUCAAUCUAUUUUGAGAAAUAAAAGAGAUUAAACAAGCAAGCAAGAGAGCAGAGAUGGGGGAAGAUAGAUGCCAUGUCACAUGAAGAUCACCAAGGAGUCAAGGAAUUGAAGCUGAAGAGACAAGGACCUUCCCCCAGAGCCAACAGAGAAGACUUCCUGUAGAGCCGGCGUCCUGAUUUCAUACUUCCAGCCUCCUGUGAGAAAAUAAAUUUCUGUUCAUUAAAGACACCCACUUGUGGCAUUUCUGUUAUAGCAGCACUAGAUAACUAAGACACAUAGUAAGGAAGUAUAUCUUGUAAAAAUGGCGUAGUGGUGGAGGGCUCUGACCUCUUCUAACUUCACCAGGCGGGGAGAAUCAUUACCAGCAUCAACAGCCCAAGGCUGAUUCCUCUGAGGCAGAGGUCAGACACACCUACUCUCUCCAACCUUUUUAACAAUUCUGACACCAAGUGUCCCCGCCUCAGCAUUCUCUACUCCUCUGCUGGGUUCAAUACUUCAUUGCAAUGGGCACACAGAACUCACAGACCAUACUCACAGUUAUGGGAUUUAUUAACGAAGUGACAAGUUACAAUUCAGGUUCAGGAACACUCAGGAUAUAGUUCUUCCAUCAGGAUAGCCCUCUUCACAGCUGUGCAGUAGCCAGGCUGGCCUCUCUCUGGCCUUCGUCCCCUAGGGCCGAGGCUGGGUCUCUGGCCUGCUCUGGCAAGUGUUACAAAGCUCUUUUAGCUCUGCUGAUAAGUAUUCAGAGGCACCCCACUCUGCCCAUAAGCCUUCUUCUUGAAGGCACUCAGCUUUUCUCCCUCACUCCAUGGUUCGGCACACCCACCGCACAGUCUCCUGGUUCUACUGCCUCUGCUGCUACCACUUCUUACCAUCUCUCACUGUCUCUCCAAUGUUACAACUCUCUCUCUCUGUCUCCUGGGUCUAGGGCACUCCCAGCACUGGGACCCCGGGUCCAAAAGACAUGCUCCACUCCCUACUCUUUCUUUUUUUAUUGUGCUUUAGUGAAAGUUUACAGAGCAAAUUAGUUUCUCGUUAAACAAUUAAUACACGAAUUGUUUUGUGACAUUGAUUGCCAACCUCGAGAUGUGUCAACACUCUCCCCUUCUCGACUUCAGGUUCCCCAUUUUCAUUUGUCCAAUUUUCCUGUCCCUUCCUGCCUUCUCAUCUUUGGUUUUGGGCUGGCGUGCCCAUUAGUCUUAUAUACAUGGUCGAACUACCUGUGUUAUUUUUUGUUUACAGGCCUGCCUAAUCUUUGGCUGAAGGGUCCCAGCUGUUUCUUGAUGGUUGUCAGGUCCCUUCUUUGCUCUCAAAUUGGCUCUCUUUUAAGCUUAGUAGGAUGGCAAAACUAGCCAAUCCCCUCCUUAGGGUUCCAUACACCUUAUUUGCAUGGCUCCACCCCCACAAGGGUGCCAUGCACCUUAUUUUCACUAUUAGAAAUGCUGCCCAAUCCCCUUGAUGGGCCACAAGAAGCUUAUUUGCAUAAUUCCACACAAUCAUUGUGUGAGAGUCACAAAGACUAUGGCUAACCCAUUGACCCAUUGUCAUAGAGUCAAUUCUGACUCAUAGUGACCCUAUAGGACAGAGUAGAGCUGCCCCAUAGAGUUUCCAAGGAGCGCCUGGUGGAACUGCCAACCUUUUGGUUAGCAGCCGUAGCUCUUAACCAAUAUGACACCAGGGUUUUUGGCUUUAGACUAUAGCUUGAAGGGCCAUAUUAAGUAGUUCACUGCAUCGCAUCUCUCAAUUCCUACUUUCUUAAGUAUUUUCAUCAAGAGAGGUUUGAAUUUUAUUUAAGGCUUUUUCAGCAUCUAUGAAGAUAUAUUUUCCCAUAAAUCUAUUAAUAUGGUUGUGAUAUCAAUAGAUUUCCUGAUAUUGAACCAAACUUGUAUUUUUGGAAUAAGUCACACUUGGUCACGGUGUAUUGUUUUCUUAAUGUGGUGCUGGAUUCUGUCUGCUAAUAUUCUAUUUAGUAUUUUUGCAUCACUAUUCAUGUAUGAUAUCAUUGUGCAGUUUUCUUUUUUAUACUGUCUUAGGUGUCAAUAUUAUGAUUGCUUCAUAAAAGAAAUAAGAAAAACUUUUGUUAUAUAUAUACAAUAAAAUUAAAAAAAGAAGAAAUGGGAAGUUUUGUUUCACUUUCGAAAUUCUGGGACAAAUUUAUAGAGCAAAGGGACUAUUUGGUCUUUGAAGAUUUAGAAGGCAUCCCCUGUAAAACCAUCGGGGCCCAGAGUUUUUUGGUGGGGUAGUUCCUUAAUUGACUUUCUCCACUUUUUUUGUUAUUAAUAUUGGUCUGUUUAAGAUUUCUAACUUUAAGGGGUAAAUUUUGCUAUUCUCUAUUUCUCCAGGAAAUCAUCCAUUUUUCCUAGGUUUUAAGAUUUAUUUUGCAAGGUCAGGAGUCUCUUAUAAUUUUCUAAAAACAUUUUUAUGAAGGUAUAGUUUGUAUAUCAUAUAAUUUAUCUAUUUAAAGUGUCCAAUUCCAUGGUUUUUAGGAAAUUCACGAAGUUGUGAAACCAUCACCGCAAUCUAAUUUCAGCACAUUUUCAUCACCCAUCAACAAUCCCCAUACCUAUAAGCAGCCGCUCCUCCUUCUCUCUCAUCUACAGCCACUGACAACCACAAAUCUACUUUCCGGCUCUAUGAAUUUACCUAUUUUGGACAUUUUGUAGGAACGGAAUCAUGCAAUAUGUGGUCUUUUGUGACUGUCCUCUUUCACGUAGAAUGUUCUCGAGAUUCAUCUAUGUUGUAGUAUCAGUACUCCAUUUCAUUUUAUGACUGAAUAGUAUUCCACUGUACAAUAUACCACAAUUUCUGUAUGUAUUCAUCAAUUGGUGAGCAUUUGAGUUGUUUCCACUGUUUGGCUGUUAUGAAUGAUGCUGCCAUGAUGUACGUCAUGUACAAGUUUUUUCAUGAACGUGUUUUCAAUUCUCUUGGGUAUAUACCUAGGAGUGGAAUUGUGGAUCAUAUGGAAACAACAUAUUUAAUUUUUUGAGGAUGGCCAGGCUGUUUUCCAAAGCAUCUGCACCAUUUUACAUCCCCACUAGCAAAGCACAAAGGUUCUUAUUUUUCCACAUCCUCUCUAACACUUGUUAUUGUCUGUCUUUUUUAUUGUAGCCAUUCUAGUGGGUGUGGAGUGGUAUCUCAUUGUGGUUUUGAUUUGUUUUUCAUUAAUGAUGAGCAAUUUUGAGCAUCUUUUUGUGUGCUUAUUGGCUGUUUGUAUAUCUUCUUUGGAGAAAUGUCUAUUCAAAUCUUUUGCCCUUUUUUAAAAAUAAGGAGUAUUUAUAUUUUUAUUACUACAUUUUUAAGGGUUCUUUAAAUAUUCUGGAUACAAGUCCCUUAUCAGAUAUAUGACUCGCAAAUAUUUUCCCCCAUUCUGUGGUUUCUUUUCACUUUCUUGAUGGUGCCCUUUGCAAUAAAAAAAAACUUUUUAAUUUUGAUGAAGUCCAAUUUAUCUAUUAUUUUCUUUUGUCACUUGUGCUUCUGGUGUUAAAUCUAAGAAAUCAUCUCCUAACCCAAGGUCAUGAAAAUUUACUCUUAUGUUUUCUUUUAAGAGUAUUAUGAUUUUAGCUUUUACAUUUAGUUCUAUGAUCCAUUUUGAGCUAAUUUUUUUGUAGGGUGUAAUGUAGAUGUACAACUUCAUUCAUUUGCAUGUAUGUAUUUACUUGUCCCAACACCAUUUUAUAAAAACACUAUUUUUUCCCCAUUGAGUGAUCUUGGCACCCUUACAGAAAAUCAAUUGACCAUAAAUAUAUGGAUUUAUUUCUGGAAUCUCAAUUCUAUUUCUGUAAAUCUAUUUGUCUAUCCUUAUUCCGGUAAAGCACAGUCUUGAUUAUUGAAGCUUCCUAGUAAGUUUUGAAAUCUGGAAGUGUGAGUCUUCCAAAUUUGCUCUUUUUUUUUUUUUUAAUAUUACUUUGGCUAUUCAGGGUUUCUUGCAUUUCCAUAUGAAUUUAAUAACUGACUUGUCAAUUGCUGCAAAAAAAGGCAGCUGGGAUUUUGAUAGGGAUGGCAUUGAAUCUGUAAAUCAGCUUAACAAUGUUCAAUCUCCUGGUCCAUGAACUUGGGAUGUCUUUACAUUUCUUUAGAUCUUAAUUCAUUUCAACAAUGUUUUGUUGUUUUCAGUGUACAAGUUUUGCACUUCUUUUGUUAAAUUCAUUUUUAAUUAUUUUAUUUUUGAUACUAGCGUAAAUGGAAUUGUUUUCUUAAUUUCAUUUUUAUAUUGUUCAUUGUGAGUGUAUAGAUCCAACUGAUUUUUUUUAUUGCCCUUUUAUCCUGAAACCUUGCUGAGCUCAUAUAUCAGUUCUAAUAGUUUUUUAGUGAGUUCUUCAGGAUUUUCUAUAUAGAAGAUCACGUCAUUUACAAAUAAAAAUAGUUUUACUUCUUCCUUUCCAAUCUGAAUGCCUUUUUUCUUUUUCUUGUCUAAUCACUCUGGUAGAACCUCUAAUACAAUGUUGAAUAGAAGUGGUGAGAGUCGACAUCCUUGUCUUGUUCCUGAUCUUAGGGCAGGGAGAGGGUUCAGAUUUUCACCAUUAAGCAUGAUGUUAGCUGUGGGUAUUUUAUAGUUGUCCUUUACUUGGUUGAGGAAGUUCCCUUCUAUUCCUAGUUUGUGCAGUGUUUCUCUCAUGAGAGUGUUGAAUCUUGUCAAAUGCUUUUUUUCUGUCUAUUAAGAUGAUCAUGUGUUUUUUUCCCCUCUAUUUUAUUAAUUUAUUGUUGUUAGGUGCCAUCGAGUCGGUUCUGACUCAUAGCAGUCCUAUGUACCACAGAACAAAACACUGCCCCAUUCUGCACCAUGCUCACGAUUGCUGUUACGCUUGAGCCCAUUGUUGCAGCCACUGUGUCAAUCCAUAUUCUUGAGGGUCUUCCUCUUUUUUGCUGACCCUGUACUUUACCAAGCAUGACCUCCUUCUCCAGGGACUGAUCCCUCCUGACAACAUGUCCAAAGUAUGUAAGACGCAGUCUCGCCAUCCUUGCUUCAAAGGAGCAUUCUGGUUGUACUUCUUCCAAGGGAGAUUUGUUCGUUCUUUUGACAGUCCAUGGUAUAUUCAGUAUUCUUCGCCAACACCACAAUACAAAGGCAUCAAUUCUUCAUUGGCCUUCCUUAUUCAUUGUCCAACUUUCACAUGCAUAUGAACGAUAGAAAAUACCAUGGCUUGGGUCAGGCACACCUUGGUCUUCAAGGUGACAUCUUUGCAUUUCAACACUUUAAAGAGGUCUUUUGCAGCAGAUUUGCCUAAUGCAAUGCAUCUUUUUGAUUUCUUGACUGCUGCUUUUAUGGGUGUUGAUUGUGAAUCCAAGUAAAAUGAAAUCCUUGACAAUCUUUUCUCUGUUUAUCAUGAUGUUGCUUAUUGGUCCAGUUGUGAGGAUUUUUGUUUUCUUUAUGUUGAGGUGUAAUCCAUACUGAAGGCUGUGGUCUUUGGUCUUCAUCAGUAAGUGCUUCAAGUCCUCUUGACUUUCAGCAAGCAAGGCUGUGUUGUAUUAAAUUGAAUGUGUUUUGUAUGUUAAACCAACUUUGCGUUUCUAGGGUAAUCCCUCUUAGUGUAUGAUCUUCUUUUACAUGCUGCUGAACUCAGUUACGAGUAUUUUGUUGGGGAUUUUUGCAUCUAUAUUCAUAAGGGAUGUUGGUUUUCAAUUUUCUCUUCGUGAGAUGUCUGUGAUUUUGGUAACAGGGUAAUACUGACCUCAUAGAAUGAGCUGGGAAUUGUUCCCUCCUCUCUAUUUUUGGAAGAGUUGUGAAGGUUUAGUAUUUUUCUGUAAAUGUCUGGUAGAAUUCACCACUGAAGCCAUGUGCACCUAGGUUUUUCUUUGUGGGAAUUAAAAAAAAAAAUUUUUUUUUAGUAUAGUUUUAGAUUUCCAGAACAAUAGAGAUGAUAGAGAGUUCCAUAUACUCACCCACCCCAACUCUGGCUGACAAUCUCUCUUAUUUUGUCGUUCAUUCAAGAGUUGUUCACUAGCAGGUGGUUUAAAUUUCCAGGGAGAAGUGCCUUUUUGUUUUUGUUAAUUUCUCAUUUUAUUACAUUGUGCUCAGUGAAUACUGUUUGUAAUAUUUCUACUUUACUGAACUUAUUAAUGAUUUCUUUGUGACCUAAUAUAUGAUCAAUUUGUGUGAAUACCGUGUCUUUGAAUUCAGGGUUGUUUUCUCAGGUGGGGGUGGGGAUUUUCCUCAGUUGAUGUGUGUUGGAUUUUGUUUUCUGAUUUUUCGUAAUAGCUCCAUACGGAUCUGUUAAAUCUUUUUCCUGUUCAUUUUUGUGGUAUUGGGGAGUGUUUCAAGAUUCCUUGUUGAACAGCACACUCUUAUGUCAGUAUAGCAAAGUCCAGAUUCUUCAGUGGAUUGUGUUUGUUUUGGUGGGGGGGGGGAGGGGUUGUGUUCUCCGAUUUUUUUUUUUUUUUGGCUCGCUUUUGUCUUGCAGGACCCUAAAAUUUGCCCCUUUUGCUUCUUUUCCACUUCUCAACUCAAUUACCAAAGGGCAUUUCUCGCUCUUUUUCGUCUUUUUUUUCUCUCCCGCCCCAUCUCCCCCCCCUCAACGGUCCCCAAGCUAUGCAUUUCAAAGACUGUCCCUCCAAAUCGCGCAUGCUUUUAAUUCCCUUCCCAGUAGUCUGAGCUCUGAUCUGCCAGGGCGUUUUCUUAGUGUUUUCAGACUUCGGAAGGACUUGGUCGUUCCGCUGGUGGCACUAGACAGCCUUAGACCCAGUUGCCAGCUCCCCUCUUCCCUCCUCCUCUGGGGUUAGGUGGGGCAGGAGAGCUCAGCGCUGGGCUUUGGUGUGUUCUCUAUUUAGUUACAGUUAUUUUGAAGUUCGGCCACUCUGUUUUCACGUCACGCUGAGGGCGUGGCUUUGGCAUAGUUUUAUUUUUCCCUUGUUGUUCCUCUUUGUUUUGGGGGAAAGCUUGGGAGAUGAGGACUCAGGCAGCUGUUAUUUUCCUCAGCUACUCGAAGUCCCUUUGGUCUUUUGUAAUUCAGCUGGAGCUUGGGGGUCCCUGGAUGGUGUGAAUGGUUAACUCGCUGGGCUGCUCACCUAAAGGUUGGUAGUUCGAGUCCACUCAGAGGUCGCCCGUUAUUAAGUCGGAAUGGACUCAAUGGUAACUACUCUUUUGAAGAUGGAGCUUAGCUCAUUAACUUCCAGCCUUUCUUACUUUCUAAUAUCUGCAUUUGAAAUCAUAAAUUCCUCUAAGAAUUGUUAGCUGUGUCCCCCGACUUUGACAUAGAGUAAUUUUCAAUUUACCACCUGUCAGUUUGUUGUGCGGUGGUGGCCUGUGUGUUGCUGUGAUGCCAGAAGCUAUGCCACGUAUUUCAAAUACCAGCAGGGUUACCCAUGGUGGACAGGUUUCAGCAGAGCUUCCAGACUAAGAAGGGCUUGGUGAUCUACUUCUGGAAGUUAGCCAGUGAAAACCUUACGGAUCACAACAGAACAUUGCCUCAUUCACUUACUUUGAACAUGUCUGUAAUGGAUUGAAUUGUGUCCCCCCAAAAUAUGUGUCAACUUGGUUAGGCCAUGUGUGGUUGUCCUCCAUUUUAUGAUUUUCCUAUGUGUUGUUGAGUCAUGAUCUCUGCCUUUGCUUAAAGAGGAUUAGGGUGGGAUGUAACAACAUUGCUCAGGUCACAUCCCUGAUCCAAUGUAAAGGGAGUUUCCCUGGGGAGCAAGCAGAGAGCUGUGGACCUCAUACCACGAAGAAAGAAGCACCGGUAGCUGAGCACGUCCUUUGGACUCAGGGUUCCUGUGCGGAGAAGCCCCUAGUCCAGGGGAAGAUGGAUGAGAAAGACCUUCCUCCAGAGCCGACAGAGAAAGCCUUCCCCUGAAGCCAAUACCCUGAAUUUGGACUUCUUGCCUACUAGACUUUGAGAAAAAAAAAAAACUUCCCUUUGUUAAAGCCAUCCACUUGUAUUUCUGUUAUAGCAGCACUAGAUGACUAAGACAGAGUUUGGUACCCAGAGAGUGGGGUGCUGCUCUAACAGAUACCUAAAAUGUAGAAGUGCUUUUGAAACUGUGAAUGGUUAGAAGUCUGGGAGCUCAGCUGAACCCUGUCUGCCACGGGUGACCCUGCUGGUAUCUGAAUACCUGUGGCAUAGCUUCCAGUGUCAUAGCAACACGCAAGCCCCCACGGUACAACAAACUGACAGACACGUGGGGGUAUGGUUUUAGGUGUAACUCUAAAAACAGCAUCUGGUGGCGUAUUAAUUAGCAUAGUAUAGAUUAUGCUGUGAUUAUUGUGGGAUGUAAAUAUACUGUUAUAUGACGAAAGGGAGUUAAAGUGACAGGUAGGAUUAAGGUUACUAAUCAGCUGACCUUAAAAUAGGGCGAUUAUCCUGGAUUAUUCAGGUGGGCCCAUUGUAGUCACAAGGGUCCUUAAAUAUGGAUGAGGGAAGCAGAAGAGUCCAUGUCAGAGUGACACAGUGUGAGAAAGACUUGAUCAGCCAUUUUGGCUUUGAAGGUGGAAGGGGAUCAUGAGCCAAGGCACGCAGGCAGCCUCAGGAAGGUGGAAAAGGGAAGAAAACAGAUGCUCCCUGGAGCCUCCAGAAAGGAACAGCCCUGCCAACACCUUGAUUUUAGCGCAGUGAUAACCAUUUUGGAGUUCUGACCUCCAGCAUGUGUUUAUGCUGUAACAUAGUAAAUUCGUGUUGUCUUAAGUCGUUAAGUUAGCAGCGAUUUGUUACAGCCCCAAGUAGGAAUCCAAUAAGAAACAACCCAAAAAUCUCAGUGGCUCUCAAAAACAAAAGUUUAUUUCCUGUUCAUAUUACCUGCCCUUUACGGUUCAGCUUUGACUCCAUUUCUUAUUCCAGAACCCAGGCCAGACGCUGCCCCCACCUGGGACACACCAGGCUCAGGGCAGGUGCAAAAGAGCAAUGGCUUUUAACUCAUAUGCUCUAAUGUGGCAUACACCAUUUCUGCUCAAAUUCCAUUGGUAAAGCCAAGUCACAUGGCUAAGCAUAACAUGGGGCUGGAAGUAGACUCCUCCUCAAAGGAAGGACACCAGGAGAGGUCCUGUAGGGAGGGCCUAGCAUGUAUGAAACCCUGGGGCAAGAAGGAAUGGGAUUAACAGAAUUGAGAGAACUGGUGGGACCUGGAGGGCGGUGGUGGAGGGGCAGGGCCAGGGAUGUGGCUGGAGAAGUGAGCCAGGACCUAUUGUGCCAGGCAUGCAAGCUAUUUAUUCACUCAACAAAUAUGAGCGAUACAACUACGUACCAGGCCCUGAACCAUGGCUGGAGGUUCGAGGAUGAGUAAGGCUGACAAAAUCCCUGUUCUGGAGGCACUGACCUUCUAGAGGGAAAAAAGGACAAGAAGUAAACAAGGAAGCACGAUGCCAGACCAUGAUAAGUAAGCACCACGGUUAAGGAGCUUGUAUUUUUUGUAUUUUAUUAAAAGGAGUCCCUGGUUGGUGCAAAUAGUUAACACAUUUGCCUGCUAACCAAAAGGUUGCAAGUUUGAGUCCACCCAGAGGUGCUUUGGAAGAAAGGCCUGGAGAUGUAGUUCCAAAAAUCAACUUGACGACAACCGGAAAAAAAUUUUAUUCAAAGAACUAUUUUAAAAAGGUCAUUCAGUGUUUGGGGGGAAGAACCAUUAGAGGUGGCAGAGAGCAGAAGGAUGUGGGGAGACUGUCUAGGGAUCAUUGCUGUCACCCAGGCUGUAGAUGGUGCAGCGUGGACUGGGGAGAAGCUGUGGGGAGGAGAGGAGGGCAUGGAUUAGGGAGACACUUUGGAGCUAGAAGCCACGAUACUUCGUGAUAAGUUGGAUGUUGGGGAUGAGAAGAAGGUAGCAAUACUCCCAAAUAUUUACUCAAGGGAACACAGCCCAGCAGGGAGAACAAAGAGCAAGCAAUAGCAUGACUGAAUCUCACCCAAAAGUGGACCUACUGUGGGAUUCUAUUUACAUAACGUUUGAAAACAGGCAAAUGGAACCUGUGAUGACAGGCUAGAGCCAGAAUAUUGUGUUAACUUUGGGGGGAGGGGCAGGAUGAGGCCACUGAGACAGGAAGGACGGGUAAUGUUGUUUCUUGAAUUGGGUGCUGGUUACACAGGUGCGUUCUGACAAUUCAUCAAGCUGCUCAUUUCUGAUCUGCACACUUUUCUGAAUGGCUGCUAUGCCGAAAUAAAGUUUACGUAAAAAAACCACUCGCAGGAGACACUGAGGGUCCGUUAAGGGGAUGGAAACAUUUGGAAAUGGGCGGUGGUGGUUGACCAACACGAAGAACACAGUUGGUGUCCCUGAACUGUACAUGUGACCAAUGUUGAAAUGGCAAAUGUUCUGUUACAUACAUACUAGCCAUUAG